rnacentral:rRNA from 1 species
AUUGAACGCUGGCGGCAGGCCUAACACAUGCAAGUCGAACGAGUGGCGGACGGGUGAGUAAUGUCUGGGAAACUGCCUGAUGGAGGGGGAUAACUACUGGAAACGGUAGCUAAUACCGCAUACCAUCGGAUGUGCCCAGAUGGGAUUAGCUAGUAGGUGGGGUAACGGCUAACCUAGGCGACGAUCCCUAGCUGGUCUGAGAGGAUGACCAACCACACUGGAACUGAGCAAGGGUCCAGACUCCUACGGGAGGCAGAAGUGGGGAAUAUUGCACAAUGGGGGCAGUCCUGAUGGUGCCAUGCAGAGUGUAUGAAGAAGGCCUUCGGGUUGUAAAGUACUUUCAGCGGGGAGGCGUUAACCGAAGAAGAAGCACCGGCUAACUCCGUGCCAGCAGCCGCGGUAAUAC